AGGAAAAGAAACCAACAGGGAUUGCCUCAGUAACGGCGAGUGAAGCGGCAAGAGCUCAACUUUGGAAUCGCUGCGGCGAGUUGUAGUCUGGAGGUGGCCGGUCCCGGCGCCAGCGCGCAGCCAAGUCCUUUGGAACAAGGCGCCUGAGAGGGUGACAGCCCCGUGGCAGUUUGUGCUGGUGCCGCCUCGGCCCACCGACGAGUCGAGUUGUUUGGGAAUGCAGCUCUAAGUGGGUGGUAAAUUCCAUCUAAAGCUAAAUACCGGCGAGAGACCGAUAGCGAACAAGUACAGUAAUGGAAAGAUGAAAAGCACUUUGAAAAGAGAGUGAAACAGUACGUGAAAUUGUUGAAAGGGAAGGGCUUGCACCCAGACACGGCCUUCUGGCCGGGCCAGCAUCGGGUGGGAGGGAGCGACAACGAGCAGUCGAUGUAGUACAGCCCUCUGGGCUGUGCAUUAUACGUCUUGCUUUCUGGCUCCUCUCCCGCCCGAGGACCGCAGCAAUAAGGAUGCUGGCGCAAUGGUUGCAAGCCACCCGU
rnacentral:rRNA from 1 species